UACGUAGGGCGCAAGCGUUUGUCCGGAAUUAUUGGGCGUAAAGAGCUCGUAGGCGGCCUGUCGCGUCUGCUGUGAAAUCCCGGGGCUUAACCCCGGGCGUGCAGUGGAUACGGGCUGGCUGGAGGCAGGCAGGGGAGAAUGGAAUUCCCGGUGUAGCGGUGAAAUGCGCAGAUAUCGGGAGGAACACCGGUGGCGAAGGCGGUUCUCUGGGCCUGUUCUGACGCUGAGGAGCGAAAGCGUGGGGAGCGAACAGG
rnacentral:rRNA from 1 species